GUAACAUUCAGGUCCAGCAGCACGGCAGGAAUGGAGGAGUUUGGGAUCUCCCCUGGCCAGCUUGUGGCAGUGUUCUGGGAAAAAUCAUCUCCUGAGGAAGCCCUAAAAAAAUUGGUGUAUAGACUGCAAGAGUUAACUGGCAGUGAGGGCCAAGUAUUCAUGGAAACCAUCACCCAGCUGUUGCUGUCUGCUCAUAAGGAGUCCAGCUUCGAUGUCAUUCUGUCGGGUGUAGUCCUGGGAAGCACCUCUCUGCACAGUGCUGAGCCUCUGGCUGAGAUGGCCCGGGUCCUCCGGCCAGGGGGAUGUCUUUUUCUGAAAGAACCAGUGGAGACAACUGAAGUUAACAAUGACAAAAUGAAGCCGGCAUUUAAGCUGUGUUCAGCCCUGACUCUUUCUGGCCUUGUGGAAAUAAAAGAGUUGCAGCGGGAGGCCCUAAGCCCUGAGGAGGUGCAGUCCAUGCAGGAGCACCUGGGCUACCACAGUGACAGCCUGCGCUCAGUCCUUGUCAUUGGCAAGAAGCCAAACUUUGAAGUGGGUUCUUCUAGCCAGCUGAAGCUGCCCAACAAGAAGUCAUCUUCAGUGAAGCCUGUUGUGGAUCCUGCUGCUGCCAAGCUCUGGACCCUCUCAGCCAAUGACAUGGAGGAUGACAGCGUGGAUCUCAUCGACUCAGAUGAGCUGCUAGACCCAGAGGAUUUGAAGAAUCCUGACCCAGCCUCCCUGAAGGCUCACUCAUGUGGGGAAGGGAAAAAGAGGAAGGCCUGUAAGAAUUGCACCUGUGGUCUUGCAGAGGAACUGGAGCGGGAGCAGUCCAAGGCGCAGAGCUCUCAGCCCAAGUCAGCCUGUGGAAAUUGCUAUCUGGGUGAUGCUUUCCGCUGUGCCAACUGCCCCUACCUCGGGAUGCCAGCCUUCAAGCCUGGAGAGCAGGUGCUCCUGAGCAACAGCAAUCUCCAGGAUGCCUAGGAGGGAGCUCAAGCCACACACCUCCUCCUCCAUUGACUCCUGCCCUCAGCUCCUCCCUCGGCCUCCUCCCACUUCUGGAUUCAGUCACUCUGAAAACAUUCACAGGGAGAGGCUUGUAGCCAAGCGAGCAAAGCUGCUGUGGGCAGUGGGGUGUGGUGCUGCUGUGUCUUGAAUGACCAAGGUUUGAGGGGACCUGCCUCAUAGUGUUAGGAGAAGAGGGUAUGCCCUAAGGAACUCUGCUCCUGGUGUUACAGUUCUGACCCUCCACCCUUGAGUCUAGACACUCUUGAAUAUUUAUGCUGAAUAAGCUUCA